GCGUCUAUCGUCUAAUGGAUAGGACAGAAGUCUUCUAAACUUCCAAUAUAGGUUCAAAUCCUAUUAGACGCA
rnacentral:tRNA from 1 species